AUGACAGCAGUGGUAUCAAACAUGUCGGCUCUUUUGAAAAUCGACGACUUCGGAUUAGACCAUGGGAACUUCGUCCUCAUUCGACUCGCCAACAUAGAAUCAUGUGGGAGGAAAAUUUCAGACAGUUUUUGGAGAAUAGAUCUGACUCCGAAUUAUCAGACUCUUCGUCGAAUAUCAGCUUGCCAUCUCUUGAAGAAUUCUCAACUUGUGCAAACGAUGAAGACGCUCCGAUUUCAAUUUCCAGUACAGAUUCCUUUAAAGAAACCGAAAGUCUUCAUCUGUCAUCACAAGAAGAUUCCAUUGUUAUUUUGUCGAGCCCAGAAUCUGUCUCAAAUUCACCAACAUCGAAAGCCUACCAAGAUUUGUCCGAUUCGAGCAGUAGUUCUGGACAUGAUUUUGAUCAAAGGAAUGCCUGUGAUAAUAGAAGUUCAGUCGUUCGGGCAUCAGACCAAGUCAUCUGAUCAACCGCUGGAGUACUUUGAGGAUAACAAACACAUGCCGAUUUAUUCGUCGUCUGAUAAGGGAUUUUCAGUAAAAGAUGCCGUUUCGAUUAUAAUAAAUACAAAGGAUAAAUUGGCAUCCAAAGUACCGUUCAGUUGCAAAGAAACCAAAAUAUUUGUUGUAGACACAAGCAAGUUAGAACAUAUUGAUGAUAUACGGUCUCAUGAACUUGGUGCAAUGAAAAAUGAGAGAGUUCAGAGAGAUUACGUUUCAGUUGCUGAAGAUGAAAAAGUAAUCAAAGUUUUGAAAAAAAAUCCCAAUGUCAUGAGAAAAGGAAUUUACAUGCUAAAAAGGUCUUACUACUCUUUGAAAGGCGACACAAGUUUUAAGAGAAGAAUAUAUGAACUAUCUGAUUGGAAAGGCGAUCAACACAAAGUAGUCAUUUUGCAGUUUGUUUUCCACGGUAAUGCUCCUCCACCAAAGCCAAGACCGCAUGGAAAUAGCAAAUCAGGGGGCAUGUAUGUUAGGACAACAAAGUCAACGCUUGAAAAGGUGAAGGAGAAGUUGAAACCAAAAGAUGCUUUUGAGGAUGCGUUCGAAUCUGUUGGCGGCAUGGAAGCAGAGAGCAUGUGUUCCAUCCCCAGAAACGUAAAGCAGAUUUACAACAUAAAACAAUCGAAGUCCAAGCAAGAAAUAGGGUCCAAAGAAAAAGACGAUUUGUUUUCGAUAAUACAACAAUGCAAAUCUGAACAAUCUCUGACCAACCCCUUUAUCAGAUCAAUUCAAGCUGCGCCCGAACCCAUGUGCGUCUGUGUAACUGACAGACAGCUAUCGGAAAUGCAAAAAUUCCUAACUAACCCCUCAGAAGCAUCCAUAUUAGGUAUUGACCCUACUUUUAAUUUAGGCCAGUUUCUGGUAACGGUUGGAACGUACAAACACUUGCAACUUCGACAUCGGCGAACCGGAAACUCCCCUACGAUGAUUGGUCCGGUGCUCAUUCACCAACAGAAGCUCCCAAUGUCAUAUUCCUAUUUGGCAAGCACAUGCACUUCUCUCAGACCAUCUCUAAAAGAAAUUCUUUUCAUAGGAACUGACGAUGAAAAGGCCAUUUUUAACGGUGUUAAAACCUUCCCCCUUAGCUUAAACACUCAAUGUUUCAGGCAUAUGCGAAACAACAUUUCAAGAAAACUCCAAGGGCUAGGUGUUUCUGAAACCGCUGCAGGCGAAUACCUGAGGGACAUAUUUGGUGUUAAACGCAAUUCCAUGGUAGAAUAUGGAUUGGUGGAUGCAACAUCAGAUUCUGAGUUCGAUACAGAGUUGAAAAAUUAUGAAAUAAUCUGGAAUGAAAGGGAAAUCGAAGACCGCAAAACAAACGAUCCACUUUUCCACAAAUGGUUCCUUAAGGAAAAAGCAGAUACUUUUAAAAAGCAUCUUCUGUUACUGUUGAGAAUAUCUGCAGGUCUUGGAUUUGCUGAGUACACUACAAAUGCUAAUGAGUCUAUUAACAAGAAGCUGAAAGAAAAAGUUGACUACAAAGAAUCUCAGUUAGGAGAAUUUUGUUCCAAACUGUUCUCUUUAGUUGACAGCCAGAAUAAAGAUGUUGAAAAAUCCCUCAUUGGAGUCGGACCUUACGAACUGCGACCUGAAUAUAAGCAAUUUGAAAUAUGUCAAACGGAUUGGUUUAAGCUCUCAAACAGUACAAGACAAAGCCAUCUAAAAAACUUUCUUAAGGCCCCUUUGAAGCCGUCUCGUCAACGUUUUGACAACGAGGGUGCUUCCACUUCCAGUACAAACAAAUGCCAAAGCCUAAGUAUUAACUUUGAAGAAACUGGAUUGUCAGAAAACGUUUAUAAACAUGUUUGGGAGAAAGCUGUUGAGAUUUUGGAUAAGGACAGUAAUAUUGUACAUGCCCCUGGAGAAAACACAGCCAUGCUUGUUGUCAGUAAAUCAAAAAAAAUGCCUCAUUAUGUUGAAAUUUUCAAAAGCGGCAAAAUCGAAUGCCCAUGUGAUGGAUAUAAGGCCAAACAAAUGUGUUCUCAUGCUUUGGCAGUAGCAGAGAAAAGGGGAGUUCUUGAAAAUUAUCUUUGUUGGUAUGAAAAAUGCAGGGGUCUCAGCAUUUCAGCGAUAUGCAGAGAAAAAAUGCCACAAAAACCUCAAAAGAAACCAGGCCAUAAAGAUAGAUCAUCAAAAAGAAAAUCUACUACUCGUUUUGAAUACGAUGAUGCACUUCCCACGAAACGUAGAUCGCGCUACAACCCGAAAGAAAGUAAUGUAACUGCAGCCGAUGAUAUUGAGUCCAAUUACUUUCUGAAAUCAUUAAAUGGAACAAAGAUACGGGUAUCUUAUGGGUGUUCAAAGGCAAUCAGAAUCCCGCCACACGUUCCUGCGCCACCUUACGAUGUGGUUAUAUGCAGAAAGGAAUAUCGCGCCUAUUCCUUGGACGGGAUAUCAAAACUCACGCUCACGCCUCAAAAUGUCCAUUAUCAUUUACGGAAGGCAUGCCUCACAAUGAAAAACCCCGAAUUUGACGAGGAUACUCUCAUCAUUUGCACUCCUGAUGUCGGUCAGCAGCUAACAGACGUUCACAAGAAUUAUUUGAAAUGUUUUAAUGUGAAGUACUAAAAUCUCUUAAGAUGUUUCUCUUCAAAGUUAAUGUUUCCUUUCCUCACUCGAUGUACAAACA
rnacentral:sRNA from 1 species